ensembl:lncRNA
GUGGACUGACUGCAAACUCACUGGGCAGAAAAAGGAUGGCAUCGCAGUCCUGAAGGGAAAAGAAUCCAAUAGAAUGUAAGGGAGGGCGCUGGAGGAGGGCCAAGUCCAAAGCUACCCAGGUAGAGCCAGCACACAAGCCGAUUCAGUUCAGUUCUUGGGGCUGCCUCUUAGGAAAGACACUGAUAAACUACAGAGUCCCCAGAGGAGGGCAACCAGAUUGGGGGAGAGAGUGGAGAGCUCUGGAAGGAACUUAAGCAGAAUGGAUUGGGGGUGCCGUGGGCAGGAGCUGAGGGAGGGGUUCAACCCUUUUCUGCUUAGUUCUAAGGAGAAGAACCAGAAGGUACAGGGGGAACCAACAGUCAGAUGGCCCAGAUGCCUGGCUUGCAAUGGAUGCCCCGGUCGGGUGGGAAAGAGGAAGUCCUGAUUCUCAAUUUUCCGAACCUUGUGUAUUCCCUCCGGAGAGGGGCAGAGGCAAUGCCCAGCGUGCCAGCGCAUCCAGAAGGACCCGGAAGCUGGCCCAAUCGUAGGUGCUCUCUGAUGGAAGAGAAGUGUCCAGAGUCUUGGCAAGUGGAUGGAAAGACGAAAUCAGGAUGCUGACAAUGGACCCCAUUGCAGGGGUUGACUUUGGCAUCUUCAAUGUUUGACCAAGUUCUAAGAGUUUCCGAGCACCUACAGAAAUCAAGUUCCUUUAUGGAGAGAAGUGUACCCUGGGAACUCAGAUGAGAGAAUUACCUCUUGGACAAUCUAGAGGAGGGGUGUAUGGUGUGUUCAGGGAAGACUAGCACCUCUAAGGUGAGGGUGGAUGGAACCCUUUCCAGGGCUGCUUUCCUCCUUUGGUUCUCCCCUGUGGCUCCAAGAAGCUUUAUCAUGGUGUGUCCACACUCUGGUAAACCAUCUUGGUAGAUGAGCUAAACCAGGCUGAGGGUAACUGUCACUGAGUUAGUGGGGUAUCUUCCCCAGGCAUGUGAAGACUUCCCCUGGCAGAAGGGGUGGAUUCAAACAAUUUUUUUUUAAUUUUAAUUUUUAUCUUUAUUUUAUUUUUUCCCUCAUGGUUACAUGAUUCCUGUUGUCUCCCUCUCCUCUUCACUCUCCCCUCCUGGAGCUGACAAGCAAUUCCACUGGGUUAUACAUGUAUUAUGUGUUUUAAUUUAAAAUCCAAGAUUUUUAAUUUUUGUUUGAGAUUGUAUUUUUAUAAAAAUCCAAGAUUUUGAUUUUGUUCGAAAAAAGAUCUUCAAGGAAAGAAGCUUGCUAAGUCCUAAAUCCAGAGAAUUGUUGCAGAAAGAUGCCGGAAAACCCAGACUACAUCAAGAAAAUCAAGAAUGAACUUUGGAUAUAGUUGAUUGAACUGAAGUUUGAUUGGAUAUUUAUUGUAAAUGUACACUUUUAUGCCAAAAGGGACUGCCCCUAAUUUGGCUUUCUGUCAAUGAGCCCAGCAAAACAUUGGUUUUGCUUUCUUUCUUUUCUAUUCCUCCCUCACUACUCUAAUUUCCUUUUAGAAAAUUGAAUAUUGUGUGUAUCUAUAGUUAGAAGUGUGUUUAGGACUACAAGAUGGUUACGUUAAAUGAUCAAUGGGGAGACUAGUCUCCCAAUGAUCAAC